rnacentral:sRNA from 1 species
AUAAGAAGAACGAGAACAAGAAAGUGGCUGUCAACGA